rnacentral:rRNA from 1 species
CCUACGGGAGGCAGCAGUGAGGAAUAUUGGUCAAUGGGCGCGAGCCUGAUCCAGCCAAGUAGCGUGAAGGAUGACUGCCCUCCGGGUUGUAAACUUCUUUUAUAAAGGAAUAAAGUGAGGCACGUGUGCCUUUUUGUAUGUACUUUAUGAAUAAGGAUCGGCUAAAUCCGUGCCAGAAGCCGCGGUAAUUCGGAGGAUCCGAGCGUUAUCCGGAUUUAUUGGGUUUAAAGGGCGCGUAGAUGGGUUGUUAAGUCAGUUGUGAAAGUUUGCGGCUCAACCGUAAAAUUGCAAUUGUUACUGGAAGUCUUGAGUACAGUAGAGGUAGGCGGAAUUCGUGGUGUAGCGGUGAAAUGCGUAGAUAUCACGAAGAACUCCGAUGGCGAAGGCAGCUUACUAAACUGCCACUGACAUUGAUGCUCGAAAGUGUGGGUAUCAAACAGGAUUAGAUACCCUAGUAGUC